GAAUCCCUCAAUUUUGUAACAGGUUUGGCAGAUUAUCCUGAAGACAUGCUGUCAUGCUGUGACCUACUCCUCACUUUUCUAUAGCGGUGAAGUCAUGACAGCCUGACAGUGAGUGUAAAAAGAAAAUGCUCGUAGCUUGGCCACACUCACAAGUCUUUCUUACUGAGGAAGGUUUUUCUCCAGGUGAAAAGAAGGGGCUGACAAUGAGGUUGUGGAAGUGUAAAGACCAGCACCAUCUCACAGUGCAGGGAUGAUCUCCCCAGCUUUGUCCUAACUCCUAAAUAAACUUUUUAAAAGAG